rnacentral:rRNA from 1 species
GACAGGGGAGGCAAGCGUUAUCCGGAAUUAUUGGGCGUAAAGCGUUCGCAGGUGGUUUGACAAGUCUGGGGUUAAAGCCCGGAGCCCAACUCCGGAUCGGCCCUGGAAACUGUCAGACUUGAGUAAGGUAGGGGGUGCGGGAAUUCCCGGUGUAGCGGUGAAAUGCGUAGAUAUCGGGAAGAACACCAGCGGCGAAAGCGCGCAACUGGGCGAUUACUGACACUGAGGGACGAAAGCUAGGGGAGCGAAUGGG